rfam:Salinicoccus halodurans strain H3B36, complete genome.
UUUAUCUAAAAUAAAAGCACUCAUAUAAUAGCAGAGAUAUGGUCUGCAAGUUUCUACCGGACGCCGUAAAUGUUCCGACUAUGGGUGGGCAAAAUACGGAC